CAUGCCAUUUUCCAUCACUUACCACCACUUCCCAAUUUAGAAGUGAGGCAAGGCCUAUGGAAAAAAAGGCAUUACCUAGCACAGCACACCUGUGUUCUCUCCUGCCAUCAGGCUGCCACAGCUACAAUAACAUGACUGGUACAGGCUUCGAAGCAACAGAGCUCUAUCACCCAGGAAUUCAGCAGGGGAACCUUCUGGGCUGUUGUGGAGCAUCUAGAAAGAUCUACUUUAAAUUACUAUAUGGUACCACAGCAUUCCAGGCAAGAGGCAUGCUGCUUUGUGGAGCUGAUGCAGGCCCCUGCUCUCUGUAAGACCAAAAGUGGAAAGUAAACUUCAUAAAAGCCUGACCUGACGGCCUUCACAGCUGGAGCAUGUUGGGAAUCACUCCUGGCACCGAAGAGGUUAAUUGCCUCCUGCUGUGAGGUCUGAUGAUUUGGUCCACUCCCCAGGAGAAGCAGCCAUUGUUUCUCAACACUUGUUGCAUGUACUUUUUGCAGUUGUCCUCACUGCAUCUCAUGGUAUUUA